rnacentral:rRNA from 1 species
AACGAACGCUGGCGGCAUGCCUAACACAUGCAAGUCGAACGAGACCUUCGGGUCUAGUGGCGCACGGGUGCGUAACGCGUGGGAAUCUGCCCUUAGGUUCGGAAUAACUUCGGGAAACUGAAGCUAAUACCGGAUGAUGACGUAAGUCCAAAGAUUUAUCGCCUAAGGAUGAGCCCGCGUUGGAUUAGCUAGUUGGUGAGGUAAAGGCUCACCAAGGCGACGAUCCAUAGCUGGUCUGAGAGGAUGAUCAGCCACACUGGGACUGAGACACGGCCCAGACUCCUACGGGAGGCAGCAGUGGGGAAUAUUGGACAAUGGGCGAAAGCCUGAUCCAGCAAUGCCGCGUGAGUGAUGAAGGCCUUAGGGUUGUUAAAGCUCUUUUUACCCCGGGGAUGAUAAUGACAGUACCGGGAGAAUAAGCUCCGGCUAACUCCGUGCCAGCAGCCGCGGUAAU